GCACUUUCCCACCCCGACGUAGAUGGAUGCUUGUCCAAGGCGGUUGCCAAUCUCUGACAUUAUGCACAUGGAGGACUCAUAGCGAGGGAAUGCUUUCUGUAUUGAAGGGAGACAGAACUCUGCCACAGCUAAAAGGAGCCGUCUUAUUAUUGCUCCUAGUAGCGCUUACAUUCUCUGCAUGCCUCUUCAUCACAUACAUAUUACAGCAGGCCUUCCUGGCAAUCCAGGGGAUUUACUCUCUUCAAAUCUCUGGUGUCAAGGUGGAAAAAUGCGACGCACUAG